rnacentral:rRNA from 1 species
GGCCAGCAGCCGCGGUAAUACGUAGGGUGCGAGCGUUGUCCGGAAUUACUGGGCGUAAAGGGCUUGUAGGUGGUUUGUCGCGUUGUUCGUGAAAUGCCACAGCUUAACUGUGGGCGUGCGGGCGAUACGGGCAGACUGGAGUACUGCAGGGGAGACUGGAAUUCCUGGUGUAGCGGUGGAAUGCGCAGAUAUCAGGAGGAACACCGGUGGCGAAGGCGGGUCUCUGGGCAGUAACUGACGCUGAGGAGCGAAAGCGUGGGGAGCGAACAGGAUUAGAUACCCUGGUAGUCCACGCCGUAAACGGUGGGUACUAGGUGUGGGUUUCCUUCCUUGGGAUCCGUGCCGUAGCUAACGCAUUAAGUACCCCGCCUGGGGAGUACGGCCGCAAGGCUAAAACUCAAAGGAAUUGACGGGGGCCCGCACAAGC